rnacentral:rRNA from 1 species
CCUACGGGAGGCUGCAGUGAGGAAUAUUGGUCAAUGGACGAGAGUCUGAACCAGCCAAGUAGCGUGAAGGAUGACUGCCCUAUGGGUUGUAAACUUCUUUUAUAUGGGAAUAAAAUGUUCCACGUGUGGGAUUUUGUAUGUACCAUAUGAAUAAGGAUCGGCUAACUCCGUGCCAGCAGCCGCGGUAAUACGGAGGAUCCGAGCGUUAUCCGGAUUUAUUGGGUUUAAGGGGAGCGUAGGUGGAUUGUUAAGUCAGUUGUGAAAGUUUGCGGCUCAACCGUAAAAUUGCAGUUGAAACUGGCAGUCUUGAGGACAGUAGAGGUGGGCGGAAUUCGUGGUGUAGCGGUGAAAUGCUUAGAUAUCACGAAGAACUCCGAUUGCGAAGGCAGUUCACUGGACUGCAACUGACACUGAGGCUCGAAAGUGUGGGUAUCAAACAGGAUUAGAUACCCCUGUAGUC